GCGCAACACACUUACAUGACGUCACUACGCCGUCCUUGCUGAGCGCGACUUUGCUAGCGUACACUCGGCAAGCCAAGACAAGAACAACACUGUUAUGACCUUCGGGCUACUAAUAAAGUUGGACUUCCCGCUCCAAAGGUCCUCGGUGGGGGAAGACUCACACAACAACAACAGCCUCAAAAACGAACGAUGGCAGUCGAAGGGAAAACUUGCAAGGAGGUAUAUUUCGCCAUAUUGCCUGAUAAAUAUGAACCUUUGAUUGAGGAUGAAGUAAGCGAGGAGACGCCAGAGGAAAAGUCGAGGAGGAAGGAGAAGACGAGGAGGAGAAGGAAGAAGUACAUUAGGAACUUGAAGAAGGCCUGCAGCUUCAGCUGGCGAUGCCUGCUGAGCGGCUUGCACAGCCUGGCCUCCUCAUACGCCGUAACAUUGUCGGGUGUGGCUGUCGUGGUGGAGCAUCAGCGAGCAGCGGCCAGUAAGGUGUGAUGGGUCCACCCGAGGAUGGCGCCUCACUGGGACACUUCCUGGAGACUCUUCAGUGUACAUGUGUGGUUUUGUUAGUUUUAUCCUGCAUUUACUUCCUAAACGCCACAGCAGUUGAUUUCUUGUCACUUUUGUAUUUCAGAAUAGAAAAUCUAUUUAGAGGAGAUUUUGCAAAAAUAUUUCAUACUGGAUCUAAUCAAAUAAAAUGUCUUUAACCCUUUGACUACCUGCCCGACUAAUCAGUAGAGGAGAUUAAAACCCAUUCAUGGGCUGCGUCCCAUUUUUGGGACAUCAUGAUUUUCACGCAUU